rnacentral:rRNA from 1 species
UACGCACUUCGGUGCAAUGUACGAGUGGCGAACGGGUGAGUAACACGUGAGAAACCUGCCUCGGAGACCGGGACAACCAUUGGAAACGAUGGCUAAUACCGGAUGUCCUUUUACGGUCGCAUGACUGUUUGAGGAAAUGAUCCGUCGCUCCGGGAGGGUCUCGCGUCCUAUCAGCUUGUUGGUGAGGUAAUGGCUCACCAAGGCAUCGACGGGUAGCUGGUCUGAGAGGACGAUCAGCCACACUGGGACUGAGACACGGCCCAGACUCCUACGGGAGGCAGCAGUAGGGAAUCUUGCACAAUGGGCGAAAGCCUGAUGCAGCGACGCCGCGUGGGGGAUGAAGGCCUUCGGGUUGUAAACCCCUUUCAGUAGGGACGAAAAUGACGGUACCUACAGAAGAAGCUCCGGCCAACUACGUGCCAGCAGCCGCGGUAACACGUAGGGAGCAAGCGUUGUCCGGAUUUAUUGGGCGUAAAGAGCUCGUAGGUGGUUCGGUAAGUCGGAUGUGAAAACUCAAGGCUCAACCUUGAGACGCCAUCCGAUACUGCUGUGACUUGAGUUCGGUA